UUGGAUACGUGUCACUAUGUAGUUGGGUCAAGGGUUUAAUAAAAAAAAUAUUAUUUUGGUUCUUUCUCUUUCUCUUCUCUCUCCCUCUUCCGCGGAGAGAGUCUCUCCGUUCCAUUGCAAAACGGAAUAAAUUUGUCUCGAACGACAUUCCGAGGAGAAUGAUUCGACGAUCAUCAUCUCCACCGAGGUCUUCAUAAUGAAACCCUAACAAUUUGGUGGUCACCAUCUGCGAAUUCAGUGAACCAAAUCGAUAACAACUUUCAGAUUUUUCAAGGAUUCGAGUGUGAGCUUGCUGAGCUGUUGAUGGAGUAUCAGGUCUCUUAGCCAACAAUUUCAUUUGUUUUAUUUCAUAAGCCCCAUCGUUUGAAUCAGUGAAUUAGUCAAGAAGAAACUGGGAAAGAGAGAGCCGCAGGCGUUGCAGGGUUGUCUCAAAGUCUUUCACUUCAAGAAUGCAUCAUGGUAGUUGGGGUUCAUCUUCAAGCAAGAACUACAAGCAACUGGUAGAUAAUGUCUGAAAGGGAUCAAAUACAUAAUUUCUCAGAAUGCAUUUGGAAGAUAUCAACAAGUGUAAGCUUGGUUGAGUCUAGUCUGCAUCAUGGUAUGAAAUGUUUUAGAUAUCUAAGAACAUUUUGUGAUGCAAAAUUUAAAGUUUUGAUGGGAGUUUGCAAGUUUAUUAAUUUCGUCUUUUUCCAAGUUUUACUAGAACAUCAAUACCCAAGCUUGAGGUUUCCCAGUAAAUGGGAGAACACAAAACCACUAAAUCCUAUAUCAGCUCACUGCUCUAGGAAUAAGCUUAAUGCUAUGGUUAAAGAGCUUCGAGGUGGAGAGCAGUGACACCAUCGACAAUGUCAAAGCUAAGAUCCAGGACAAAGCUAACAGUUGACUCUCCAUCUUGUUUUGAGGCUUAGAGAAGGUGUUAUGCUCGUCUGCACCCAAGGGCUGUGAACUGCAGGAAUAAGAAGUGUGGCCACAGUAACCAGUUGAGGCUAAAGAAGAAGAUCAACAAUGAAAAAUACAAAUUAUUUGUGUAUUCGUUGAAAAACUCAAAAAGAAGAGAGAGAGACUGAAGGAGAAGACAAGGAGCACAAAUAGAUUCAUGCUUUCAGAUUUCGACUGAGCAAGGCUUUUAAGUCAAGACAAAGAAAAAUAUCAAGUAAAGAACCAUAUUUAUCCUGCAAGAUGACGAGAUCGUGGGUGCUUUUAUUUGUUCUUAUGUUCAUUGUGUUGACUUCUCAGUUUGAGUGGAAUGAACAAGCUGAUAGUGAAACUGAGACUAGUCGUCCUCUCAUUCUUUCAGAUCAAGAGCAACAUAUACCACAAGGCAAAGAAUCUCUGCAU